GUGCUCACUUCAGCAGCACAUACACUAAAAUUGGAACAAUACCAAAAAAAUUAGCAUGGCCCUUGUGCAAGGAUGACAUGCAAAUUUAUGAAGCAUUUCAUAAUUUU
ensembl:snRNA U6 U6 spliceosomal RNA